rnacentral:rRNA from 1 species
UAAGCAUAUCAAUAAGCGGAGGAAAAGAAACUAACAAGGAUUCCCCUAGUAACUGCGAGUGAAGCGGGAAAAGCUCAAAUUUAAAAUCUGGUGGCCUUUGGCCAUCCGAGUUGUAAUUUAGAGAAGCGUCUUCCGCGCUGGACCGUGCACAAGUCUCCUGGAAUGGAGCGUCAUAGAGGGUGAGAAUCCCGUCUUUGGCACGGAUGCCCCGGUGCUUCUGUGAUGCGCUCUCGAAGAGUCGAGUUGUUUGGGAAUGCAGCUCAAAAUGGGUGGUGAACUCCAUCUAAAGCUAAAUAUUGGCGAGAGACCGAUAGCGAACAAGUACCGUGAGGGAAAGAUGAAAAGCACUUUGGAAAGAGAGUGAAACAGUACGUGAAAUUGUUGAAAGGGAAACGCUUCAAGUCAGUCGCGUCGAUCGAGACUCAGCCUUGCCUUGGCUUGGUGUACUUCUCGGCUCGACGGGUCAGCGUCAAUUUUGCACCUCGGAUAAUGGCAGGGGAAAGGUGGCACCUUUACGGGUGUGUUAUAGUCUCUUGUCGCAUGCGAGGGGUGGGAUUGAGGAACUCAGCACGCACCUCGGUGUCGGGGCUUUUGCCCACGUAACGUGCUUAGGAUGCUGGCGUAAUGGCUUUAAACGACCCGUCUUGAAACACGGACCAAGGAGUCCAACACGCCCGCGAGUGUUCGGGUGGAAAACCCGUGCGCGUAAUGAAAGUGAAAGUUGGGACCUCUGUCGUGGAGGGCACCGACGCCCGGACCAGACCUUCUGUGACGGAUCUGCGGUAGAGCGUGUGUGUUGGGACCCGAAAGAUGGUGAACUAUGCCUGAAUAGGGUGAAGCCAGAGGAAACUCUGGUGGAGGCUCGUAGCGAUUCUGACGUGCAAAUCGAUCGUCAAAUUUGGGUAUAGGGGCGAAAGACUAAUCGAACCAUCUAGUAGCUGG